GAGAUGGAUGGUGGUGAUGGUGGUACUAAAAGAAACAGAGAUGGAAGGCGACUUGGCUGAUGAAUCCCAUCCAGGUGGAGGCAUUUGAAGACACAGCAGAAGAUCAACCAACAUGGAACUGAUGCCUGAGCAGGAAACCUGAGAUUCACGGAGGAAAUGGGGUGCAACCACAGGAAACGUUUCAAUAUAAUUGCAUUUGUACUACUGUAAAAUUGUCUGUAAAAUGUACGUACCCUUUCGCAUAG